rnacentral:rRNA from 1 species
UACGUAGGGACCAAGCGUUGUCCGGAAUCAUUGGGCGUAAAGAGCGUGUAGGCGGCUUGUUAAGUCUUGCGUGAAAUCUCGGAGCUCAACCCCGAGCGGUCGUGAGAAACUGGCAGGCUAGAGUGCGGGAGAGGAGAGUGGAAUUCCUGGUGUAGCGGUGAAAUGCGCAGAUAUCAGGAAGAACACCAGUGGCGAAGGCGGCUCUCUGGAACGCAACUGACGCUGAGACGCGAAAGCGUGGGGAGCAAACAGG